CCUACCUUGGGCUCCCGGAUGAACUGUGACCCAGGAUAUGUAGUCUCAUAUGAUGACCAUGGUGAUAACUCGAUCAGAUUAAGGAACAGCUUGAGAACUGAUGGAUCAUUGCUUCUGGUUGGGUCUGUGAGGGUGUUUCCAGAGGAGAUUUGGGUGUAAGCUGCUGAAUUGAAUGGGGAAGAUCUGUCCUCGAUGUGGCUCCUAUACCUAUGGAUGGAAUGAUGUAUUAGUUACCUUUCGCCAGUGACCAAACAGUCGAUUAAAGCAACUUAAGGAGAGAAAAAUGUGUUCUGGUUCAGUUUGAGAAUAUGCAGUGGCAGGAGUCUGAGGCAGCUGGUCACAUUGUUUUCCCAGUUUGGAAGCAGGAGAUGGAUAAUUGCUGGCGCUCAGACAUCAAAAGCAAACUGUGUGAAAGAUGAUGGAGGUGCUCAAACAGGAAUGGGGAAUGAAAAUGAGAGAAUAGAAGAUCAUGCUCAAUAAAAACACAAAAUGAUAAUCAGAAUAAAUGAGACUAUCAGCACACAAGUAGAAGAAAAUCAACCAGGAACAUCUGUUCAGAAGAGAGCAAUGAACACAAGCAUGCUAGUGCCCAGCUUCUCCUGGCAUGCCUCAAGGCCCGUCUCUCAAGUUGAUUCUGGAGUCUGUCAAGUUGACCAC